UUCCUACGGGACGCAGCAGUGGGGGAUAUUGCACAAUGGGGGGAACCCUGAUGCAGCGACGCCGCGUGGGUGAAGAAGCGCCUCGGCGCGUAAAGCCCUGUCAGCAGGGAAGAAAAUGACGGUACCUGAAGAAGAAGCCCCGGCUAACCACGUGCCAGCAGCCGCGGUAAUACGUAGGGGGCAAGCGUUGUUCGGAAUGACUGGGCGUAAAGGGUGUGUAGGCGGUGUAGCAAGUUAGAAGUGAAAUACCUAGAGCUUAACUCAGGUGCUGCUUCUAAAACUGCUAUACUUGAGUGCAGUAGAGG
rnacentral:rRNA from 1 species